rnacentral:rRNA from 1 species
GAUGAACGCUGGCGGCGUGCCUAAUACAUGCAAGUAGAACGCUGAAGGAAGGAGCUUGCUCUUUCCGGAUGAGUUGCGAACGGGUGAGUAACGCGUAGGUAACCUGCCUGGUAGCGGGGGAUAACUAUUGGAAACGAUAGCUAAUACCGCAUAACAGUAGAUGUUGCAUGAUAUCUACUUAAAAGGUGCAAUUGCACCACUACCAGAUGGACCUGCGUUGUAUUAGCUAGUUGGUGAGGUAACGGCUCACCAAGGCGACGAUACAUAGCCGACCUGAGAGGGUGAGCGGCCAAGCUGGGACUGAGACACGGCCCAGACUACUACGGGAGGCAGCAGUAGGGAAUCUUCGGCAAUGGACGGAAGUCUGACCGAGCAACGCCGCGUGAGUGAAGAAGGGUUUCGGAUCGUAAAGCUCUGUUGUAAGAGAAGAACGAGUGUGAGAGUGGAAAGUUCACACUGUGACGGUAUCUUACCAGAAAGGGACGGCUAACUACGUG